GACGAACGCUGGCGGCGUGCUUAACACAUGCAAGUCGAACGGUGAAGCGCCUUCCUUUUUGGCGGGCGUGGAGGAGUGGCGAACGGGUGAGUAACACGUGAGUAACCUGCCCCCUUCUUCUGGAUAACCGCAUGAAAGUGUCGCUAAUACGGGAUAUUCUGGGUCUGUCGCAUCAUGGGUCUGGGGAAGAUAUUGUUUCGGUGGGGGAUGGGCUCGCGGCCUAUCAGCUUGUUGGUGGGGUGAUGGCCUACCAAGGCGGUGACGGGUAGCCGGCCUGAGAGGGUCGACGGUCACACUGGGACUGAGACACGGCCCAGACUCCUACGGGAGGCAGCAGUGGGGAAUAGUGCACAAUGGGAGCCAGCCUGAUGCAGCGACGCCGCGUGAGGGAUGGAGGCCUUCGGGUUGUGAACCUCUUUCGCCAGUGAAGCAGGCCUGCCUCGUUUGUGGGUGGGUUGACGGUAGCUGGAUAAGAAGCGCCGGCUAACUACGUG
rnacentral:rRNA from 1 species